rnacentral:misc_RNA from 1 species
GAUGAAGAACGCAGCGAAAUGCGAUAAGUAGUGUGAAUUGCAGAAUUCAGUGAAUCAUCGAAUCUUUGAACGCACAUUGCGCCCUUUGGUAUUCCAAAGGGCAUGCCUGUUCGAGCGUCAUUUGUACCCUCAAGCUUUGCUUGGUGUUGGGCGUCUUGUCUCCAGUUCGCUGGAGACUCGCCUUAAAGUAAUUGGCAGCCGGCCUACUGGUUUCGGAGCGCAGCACAAGUCGCGCUCUCUUCCAGCCAAGGUCAGCAUCCACAAAGCCUUUUUUCAACUCUUGACCUCGGAUCAGGUAGGGAUACCCGCUGAACUUAAGCAUAUCAAUAAGCGGAGGA